rnacentral:rRNA from 1 species
GAUGAACGCUGGCGGCGUGCCUAAUACAUGCAAGUCGAGCGGACGGACGAGGAGCUUGCUUCUCUGAUGUUAGCGGCGGACGGGUGAGUAACACGUGGAUAACCUCCCUGUAAGACGGGGAUAACUUCGGGAAACCGGAGCUAACACCGUAGGAUAUUCUGAACCGCAUUGUGGAUAAGUGAGAGACGGUCUUGCGGUCACUAAUAGAUGGAUCUGGGCUGCAUUAGCUAGUUGGUCAGGUAACGGCUUACCAAGGCAACGAUGCAUAGCCGAAGUGAGAGGGUGGUCGGCCACAUUGGAGCUUGGCCAGGGACCUUACUCCUACGGGAGGCAGCAGUAGGGAAUCGUACGCAAUGGGCGAAAGCAUGACGGAGUAACGGCGCGUGUGUGGUGAAGGUCUUCGGUUCGUAAAACUCUGUUAUUAGGGAAGAACCUAUGUGGACGUAAAUGUGGAGAUAUUGACGGUACCUAAUAAGAAAGCCACGGCUAACUACGUG